GGGGAAAGUCUUACACGACCAGCUCCCUCCCAACUCCCCCAGGGUAGGAAUACAGCAAGGGUAAGAGGUUGUAGCGGUGCGAUGUAUCCAGCUUUCCCU
rnacentral:SRP_RNA from 1 species